CACCAGCAAUUAACCCACAGAUGAAAGCAGCCCACAAACCAAGCCGGAGCAAAGCACAAGCCGUGAGGAAUGACAGCGAGAGUGAAAAGACCCGAUGGAUGGAUGAAAUUAGAAAUGCAUGGAUAGAUGGAGGAAAAGGUGGCUUUAUUACCUGCAGGUGAGCGGUGUGGGACAGUAGGCUGGAGAGGGUGUUUCGCGGAGAGUCGGGGAUCACGGGGAAGAGCAUGCGAUUAUCAGUGUCAUCACUCCAACUGUGUUUAUACAGACUCGCAUCAUAAACAAGCGCCUCUUUGGCCCCAUCCCUCAUGCGUCGCUCAUGCAUACUUAAAUCGGCAGUGCAUCCAUUAAAAAAAAAAAAAGAAGACCCCAUCUCCUGACAAUUAUUCCUUCAUCUCCACUUGUCACCGAGCAAUUACGACAGCGCACAGACAGGGCCAAAUAGGAGACACAGGGCUUUGGGAAGCCGUGCGACCGGCUGGGAACGAGGGGAGGUGAUGAAAAAAAAGUGCCUGAAAUGGAAAUAUGUCACCCUGACCUGGAGCUUUUCUGUCUUUUGUAAUGCACUAGAAAUACUGGCAUCAUUAGCAUUAAAUCUCUCCAAAAAUUAUCUAAAAAUGCAACUAAUCAUUGCAGGUUUUACUGCUUCUGGGCUUCAUAAUCUAAAAAUGCUCUUCAAAAAUGUCCCUCUCCCUAAUUUUUUUUUUUUUUUUUUUAAGAAAGGAAGUCUUUCGUCUUGCUGACCGAGUUGCUGACUGAAAGAAGCGAGUGUGUGUGUGUGUGUGUGAGACUGUGCGCACCAGUGUCUCUCUCACAGCCUGUGCGCGGAGCAGAGUCCUCGGAUCGCGCUCCACCAGCAGCCUCUCGUUGCUCUCAUUUGAGCAUGCAGCUCGCAAGCACACACACACGCACUUUCUCUCUCUCCUUCUCCUCUUUUUCUCCUGUAUUCGGACUCCAAACGAGAGAGGAUUUAACACACGCGGCUAGUUGUGGAGGACAUCCCGAGCCCCUAAAAACGCGAGAUGUUUCUCCUAGCUGCUCCCACAGACAGGAAUCCGCUCACAGAGACGAGAGCCACGCUCUCCCCUAGGAGAGGAGUACAAAGGCCAGUCUGAUGCAAAA